GCUUACGGCCACACCGCCUGGUUCACGCCGAUCUCGUUUGAUCUCGGAAGCUAAAAUAGGUUGGGCCUGGUUAGUACUUGCAUGGGAGACGCCUGGGAAUAUCCAGGUGCUGUAAGCU
rnacentral:rRNA from 1 species